UGCAAAUAGAAAACUGCAGGACAGCUGAGCAGUUUCAAGAGGCGCCAGAACGAGGCAGCUCAGUUCUUUUCUGCAGAAGGAAUGCUUUAGGAUACAAUAAAGCAUUGCCUAGACAAUACAGCAGAGUUUUGGGCGUGGGCAAAAAUCACUGUCAACCAACGUCUCUUUUGUCUUAGAUUUGACUUUCAUCAUAUUGAGGAGUCGUCUAUUGAAGGUCUUAUGGGGCUUGUGUAAGUGUUUGCCCAGAAAAUCAAAAUCAAGGAAUACUCAACAACUUGCUUUCCUGGGAGGUUUAUGGAAGUCUUUGAGUGAACUUAUGGAAAUUUAUAUCAAAAGAAGUGAUGAAAGAAAUUUCAAAAAAAUCCAUUCAAGAAAUCUGCUGUUAACAUUUAGUAUGUGCUACAUGCAGUGACAGUCCACAGGUUUGGCCAACUUCCAUCAGGAGCGAAAAGUUUAAUGAGAGGUUUAGUCCAUGCCUGAUGAAACUUUAAUUUAAAAAUUAAAUCUGAAACUUGAAUCCAGCUAUAUUUGUGAAGAUCAUAAGAUGAAUAUAUACCAGAUUUAAAUCUUUUUGGAUGACUCAGAAGAGAAAUGAACUUAAAGUGUAAUGGAGGCCCUUCUAUGCUGAACAUAACUUUAAAACGUUUCUUCUUCUAAGAACCCUAACUUUGUAAGAGAUUGUGAGUCGGUUAUUUCCCCUCAAUCAUGCCACAUGCUCUUUUCUACUUUUGCAAAUGUCCUUCUAUUAAAAGGCCCAUACAUUCAGCACACUUCAAAAUGAUUUUAUCCUUUUUUUUUGACUUCAAAGUAAAUGCUUGAAAUAACAAGAGAAGAAGAAAAGCGCUAAAGUAGUGAGGAUAGGAUUGUGUGUGACUGAGCUUGACAAUAUGAUGGUUGAUUAGCUAUGAUGUUUUCAUGCAUUUGGAAAAAAGGACAGUGGUUCAAACUGUUUUUAUGAUCUGUUGUUUUAGAUCAAUAAUAGCAAUGAGUCCUUGCAAGACUAUUUUCUCCCUUUAUACCCGUUGUCUUAGACUCUUAAGGAACACAUGAAAGACUGAUUUAUAACUUUAUAAGCAGCAAUGAUCUUAAAAGGAAAUUGAUUAAGCAUUUCUCCUCCUCCUCUCUCCUUAAGCUGCUUUCUUUCCAAAAGCUCUCAGAAAUGGAAUAUUUAUUGAGGCUGCCAGUGGGUUCCAUUAGUCAGACUGCACCUGUGGUUUACUAAUAAGUCUAGGCUGUGUUUGCUGUCACUAAUGAUGAUAUGGAAGAAUGCUUUAAUUAUCCCUUUGCAUUGAUCGUGGUUGCUUUUCUUAUGGCUAAGCUGUAACUGUGUUGCACGAUAUCUUUCUUUCAGAGUUUUUCUGUACUACUUGACAUUUCGUUGUUGAUGGUCAUUCUGCAUCGGCAGAAAGAGUAAAUUAGCUUUCCUGCUUGUCAUUUGGGUGAAGAUAAUUUAUAGUUUUACAUUUAGUUAAACAUAUUUUCCCCAACAUAUUGUGGGUAAACACCCAGAAGAGACUGGAGAGGUUAAGCUUCUCUUUUGCAAGGAAAACAUCCCUUUAGAUCGUAGCUACAUGUAUCUAAUAUGGCAACAUUCCUUUCAUUUGGAGUUUAAGUUACUUCUUUUUGUAAAUAUAUCAUACACUCUGAUGUGUAGUCAGGUUAAUACACUCUUAGAGUUGUUAGAUGUUAUUUCAGUCCCUAUAUUUGAGGGUGUUUCUUCCUUUGUUUCUUUGUUAUUUAUAACUCAGAUGUAAUUUGCAGAAAGCUGGAGUCUUUUGAAUACCUCCAGAGUCUGAGUCACCUCAGACUUGGCCAAAUUCUAGUAAAAUGACUUUGGUAGAGCAGAUAUUUAAAUGAUCUUCACUUCACAAAUUUCCCCAGGGAUCCUGCCUUCUUCCAUGAUAUGGUAAAAAGCAUGUAGGCUUUGGACUAGAUAAGCCAGAGUAAGAAAGCACCCUUCUACAACUCUUGCCUGUGCCUUGAGUAGGUUCCUUAGGCUUGCCUCAUGUUCCUAUCAGGAAAAAGUGCUUAUUACCUCUCUUUCAGAGUUCUUAUAAGAUUAAAGAUUACUGUAAUAAAAGAUAUGUAACAUAGCAUGUGUGUGUGUGUGUGUGUGUGUGUGUAAAACAUUGUUCAUGAUACACAGUAGACCCUCAAAUGUAUAUUGUCUUCAGGAAUAGAUUCUUCUUUUUCAUUUGCCUAUGCUUUCAUAAAAAUAGUAAAAAAAAAGUAUCUCAUAUAACUUUAUAGGAACCAUUGCACAAGUGAAUAGUACAUUCUCACCUACUCCAGCUCCUUUGAUAGAAUAAAUGUAAAAAAAAAAUGGUAAACUUGUAGUUUCUAUGAGUAGUUCAAAUUUUAUUACCAUUGUGGAUUGAUUUAUCGCAUCAUACUUUCCUUUAGGAUGAAUUUAAUGCCGAAGAUGUUGACAAUGGAAACAACUCAGUUUUUUGGCUUUUAUUAUUUAUUUUUUGAUUUAAUUUAUUGUGAACUUUUUUCAUUAUUAUUAUUUUUUUAAUAGU